AUAGGCGAAGCGUGCGAUUGGAUUGCACGUCUAAGCAGUAAGGCUGAGUAUUAGGCAAAUCCGGUACUCGUUAAGGCUGAGCUGUGAUGGGGAGAAGACAUUGUGUCUUCGAGUCGUUGAUUUCACACUGCCGAGAAAAGCCUCUAGAUAGAAAAUAGGUGCCCGUACCGCAAACCGACACAGGUAGUCAAGAUGAGAAUUCUAAGGUGAGCGAGCGAACUCUCGUUAAGGAACUCGGCAAAAUGACCCCGUAACUUCGGGAGAAGGGGUGCUCUUUAGGGUUAACGCCCAGAAGAGCCGCAGUGAAUAGGCCCAAGCGACUGUUUAUCAAAAACACAGGUCUCUGCUAAACCGUAAGGUGAUGUAUAGGGGCUGACGCCUGCCCGGUGCUGGAAGGUUAAGAGGAGUGGUUAGCUUCUGCGAAGCUACGAAUCGAAGCCCCAGUAAACGGCGGCCGUAACUAUAACGGUCCUAAGGUAGCGAAAUUCCUUGUCGGGUAAGUUCCGACCCGCACGAAAGGCGUAACGAUUUGGGCACUGUCUCAACGAGAGACUCGGUGAAAUCAUAGUACCUGUGAAGAUGCAGGUUACCCGCGACAGGACGGAAAGACCCCGUGGAGCUUUACUGUAGCCUGAUAUUGAAAUUCGGCACAGCUUGUACAGGAUAGGUAGGAGCCUUUGAAACGUGAGCGCUAGCUUACGUGGAGGCGCUGGUGGGAUACUACCCUAGCUGUGUUGGCUUUCUAACCCGCACCACUUAUCGUGGUGGGAGACAGUGUCAGGCGGGCAGUUUGACUGGGGCGGUCGCCUCCUAAAAGGUAACGGAGGCGCUCAAAGGUUCCCUCAGAAUGGUUGGAAAUCAUUCAUAGAGUGUAAAGGCAUAAGGGAGCUUGACUGCGAGACCUACAAGUCGAGCAGGGUCGAAAGACGGACUUAGUGAUCCGGUGGUUCCGCAUGGAAGGGCCAUCGCUCAACGGAUAAAAGCUACCCCGGGGAUAACAGGCUUAUCUCCCCCAAGAGUUCACAUCGACGGGGAGGUUUGGCACCUCGAUGUCGGCUCAUCGCAUCCUGGGGCUGUAGUCGGUCCCAAGGGUUGGGCUGUUCGCCCAUUAAAGCGGUACGCGAGCUGGGUUCAGAACGUCGUGAGACAGUUCGGUCCCUAUCCGUCGUGGGCGUAGGAAAUUUGAGAGGAGCUGUCCUUAGUACGAGAGGACCGGGAUGGACAUACCUCUGGUGUACCAGUUGUCGUGCCAACGGCAUAGCUGGGUAGCUAUGUGUGGACGGGAUAAGUGCUGAAAGCAUCUAAGCAUGAAGCCCCCCUCAAGAUGAGAUUUCCCAACUUCGGUUAUAAGAUCCCUCAAAGAUGAUGAGGUUAAUAGGUUCGAGGUGGAAGCAUGGUGACAUGUGGAGCUGACGAAUACUAAUCGAUCGAAGACUUAAUCAAAA
rnacentral:rRNA from 1 species